rnacentral:rRNA from 1 species
AGAGAGAGUUCAAUAGUACGUGAAACCUCUCGGGGGUAAGCGGGCAGAACUUGCAAGUAUUGGCUGGGAAUAUUCAGGCUUAAUGUUGGCGACUGAGAGUGUAUUAUAAAGUUGUCCUUUUGGGGAUUGGCUGAUGUGUGCUCUUUGAUUUGUUGACGAUGCGCCGCAUUUAUUUCCGUCAUCGGGUUGCAUGUGACUGAGCGUGUAGUUUAGGUGCUGAAAUCCUGCGAAGCCUUGUUGUUUCGAGUUUUGGUUUCCGACUACGGCUGCGGUCAUUAUAUCUUUUACUGGGCAGGCGUUUAGGCGCGGUCAAUAGUUUGUACGAGUUGUGUGCAUGUUGUAUGUGGACGGGUAACCGUAGCAUACGAUAUGAGGCUGAUUGUCGGUAUGAGCUAAUUUGGCACUGUCCUUUGUG